GAGGAGGAGAAAGGCUUUGAAUUUUUUCUUUCUCUUUCCUGAAGUACAAAUCAGCUUGGGAUACCUGAGCCUGCUAUGCCAACUGAACUCUCCCACAUGGUGAGAAUGCAUGCCAUCUCUGAUUUUCCCUCCUCGUUGACAGCACGGCUUCUCCACAAGGGUCCAGAGUACCUUCGCAAGCAGAUGGAGGCAGCCAACCCUAGCAGGAAGAGCGCCGUGGAAAGGUUGGCAGCAGAUAAGGCCAAGUACGUGAAAAGCCAGCAAGUCAUCGGCAGGAAGCAGGUGCCAGCUGUCACCCUCAGCUCAACUUCUGAGAGUAGCAGCGAGACUUGCUCGGUGGAAAGCAAGAAGGUUGAGCUCUCAAGAGAGAAGAAGGACACAGCAGCCCAAGUUCCCACGGCCACAGAGCUGAGUUCGGUAGCCCUGCAAGGCGGCCCUCCCAUUGUGAAGCGCAACAGUGGUAAAAGGCAGAUCCGACCAGAUUCCUUGGUGAUCUAUCGUCAGAAAUGUGAGUUUGUCCGAGGUCAAAGCCAGGAGAACACUCGUGGGAAUUUGGUCCGGAGGUUGUUCCAGGGAUCCUUCAAGGAAAAGCAGCUGAUUUCUGAGGUGUCCAAAAUUGUUCUCAAAGAGGAAACCAUUCCUGAAGUGGAAGGGACUAUUUUAGGCAAAGACACAAGACAUAGCUAUGAUCUAGAAGGACAGAAUUCACCCACAAAGGCAAACCCAACUUCUUUUCUGGUCAGCAGAUGCAAAAAUGCCCUAAAUGUGACUUCAACACCUUAUGACGUAAAGGAGAUGAGACAGAAAGGUCUUCAGAGAUCUCAGUCAGAUAUCAGUUCGCGAUAUUCAAAAUCUUUCUCUGAAUUUGACACUUUCUUUAAGAACUGUGGCCUUGAACCUGAAGUAAUAAAAGAUUUAGGCCAAGAGAAUUUUUCAGUUACUUCAGACAACUUCUCAUUCCACCGCCACAGCAUCAGCGGGGCAGCUUCUGAAAGUGACUUCACGAGACACAGCGAUGAAGAUGGACUCCUGGAGGAAGAGCUCACGGAACAGGUGCCUAAUGGCACCUCUGUGGUUGAACGCAAUGCUCGGAUAAUCAAGUGGCUGUACAUGUGCAAGAAAGCCAAAGAGGCUAAUGUGAUGAUGCAGGACUUGGCAUAAGUAAGGACUGCUUUCUUUACAGAGACACCCAGAAUAGAUGUGUUCGAUGAAGAGUGAAUACAACAGAGAAGGGAUUUACAACAACCAUUUCCCACUUCCUUCUUCACCAAGGAGCAGGAGAAUCUUUGUUGCUUCUUAAAGGAUGAAACCUCAGACCCAAGAAAUGGAAGCUGAUGCUCCUUGUUGUAGUUAUGAACAGAAAGCGUGAUUCAUGCAUGGGCCUCUUUUGAUGUACAUUUUCAUAACAAAGUGGAAACCUAUAGUUAACUGUCUCUGGGAGAUAAUUUCAUUGUUUCCAACAAUGAAAAGCAUAGUUUCUGUAUAAGAAAACUUUGUGUGUCUGUGUUUCUGUGUGAGUGAGCAUGAGUGUGUGUGCGCGCGUGUGUGGAUGGGUGUACUGUAUGAAAGGUGAGAAAAGUACAUGUUCACUUUGUGGCUUGUAUUUAUAAGAUACUACACUGGUGGAUAUAGAUGGAUAUAACCAUGUGGGACAAGUUAAUGCUCAGAAACAAUUCUCUCCAACAUUCUGGUCUAAACUGCUCAGUUAAUGUUUACAGUGGAAUAGAUAGGGUCUUCUCUAAGUAUAGGUAGCUGCCUUUCAGUUAGGCAGAUGAUGUCUCUCUCUCUCUCUCUCUCUCUCUCUCUCUCUCUCUCUCUCAUCUAUCUAUCUACCUACCUACCUACCUACCUACCUACCUACCAAUCUAUCCUCUCAGUAGUAAUUGAGAGCACACAUCACAGGAAGCCAUAACAAGGUUGAAUAUGUUGUGCAAAUUCAGGUUUUUGAGUUUAUGGAGCUUAGUGCAAUGCUUGAACUGGAAAAGGCUUGUUUUUUUUUAAAAAAAAUACCCAUAAUAUAGCCAUGAGGCACGAACCCUGCCAAUACUGUCUUCAGCAACUCUAGGAUUUCAGACAAGAAGCUUUGUGGCAAUGCCAUGGGCCUACAGCCCAAUUGCUUGACCCAGAACCCUUCCUCCCCUUCCAUCAUUUCAGAGUCCUAAAAAAAAGCCACCCCAAAUUGUUCAGGAUUGUCUCAGAUUAGAAAGCAUGUCACCCCAGAGCUGCAAUUGUAAGACUUUUCUCUUAUGUACUGUACUCAGUUUUAAUGUGCCAUGUUAGUAAACAGUACCCCCACACACUCCUCAAAUAAUGGAAUGGUGCUCAUUAUUAUAAAACAGCAUUGCUCUUUUUUUUAAUGGUGCAAGUAAGUUGCAUGGACAGAUGUCUGGGUUAAACAAGCCUGAGGGCAUAGAGUUGUCUGGGGUAGUUAGAGUGUCUGUGAGAAGAUGGUUUCUGACUGUGGUUUUCCAAGUCUGUUCCUCUGCCACCCGGGAAUCGCUGGCUGUCAUUUCUGUAACAGCCAGCAAGCGCAAACAUGUCUUAACUCUGCUCUUUCAGAAAAACAGAGAAGGCGGCUUCUUUUCCCCCAAGUUGGCACUCAUAUAUAUAGCAAAACUGGCCAUAUCUGUCUGUCUAUCUAUCGAUCUAGAUAAAAUAGAUAGCAAAGUUGACGCUGAAUAACCAAAGUUCCCUCAGUCAAAA